rnacentral:rRNA from 1 species
UACGUAGGGGGCAAGCGUUGUCCGGAUUUAUUGGGCGUAAAGAGCGUGUAGGCGGCCAGGUAGGUCUGGUGUGAAAACUCGAGGCUUAACCUCGAGAUGUCAUCGGAAACCAUUUGGCUAGAGUCCGGAAGAGGAGAGUGGAAUUCCUGGUGUAGCGGUGAAAUGCGCAGAUAUCAGGAGGAACACCAAUGGCGAAGGCAGCUCGCUGGGACGUUACUGACGCUGAGACGCGAAAGCGUGGGGAGCAAACAGG